GGAGGCGUGGCAGAGUCCGGCUGAAUGCACUGGUCUUGAAAACCAGCGAGGGUUUCGCCCUCCAGAGGUUCGAAUCCUCUCGCCUCCG
rnacentral:tRNA from 1 species